ACAUGCAAGUCGAACGCAGUAGCAAUACUGAGUGGCAAACGGGUGAGUAUAAUGUGGGAAUCUGCCUUUUGGUUUGGAAUAACACGGGGAAACUUGUGCUAAUACCGAAUAAGCCUUUACAGGGAAAGUUUUAACGCCGAAAGAUGAGCCCGCACUUGAUUAGCUAGUUGGUAAGGUAAAAGCUUACCAAGGCAAUGAUCAAUAGCUGUUCUUAGAGGAAGACCAGCCACAUUGGGACUGAGACACGGCCCAGACUCCUACGGGAGGCAGCAGUGGGGAAUCUUGCACAAUGGGGGAAACCCUGAUGCAGCGAUGCCGCGUGAGUGAAGAAGGCCUUUGGGUUGUAAAACUCUUUCGUCGGGGAAGAAAAUGACUGUACCCGAAUAAGAAGGUCCGGCUAACUUCGUGCCAGCAGCCGCGGUAAUACGAAGGGACCUAGCGUAGUUCGGAAUUACUGGGCUUAAAGAGCUCGUAGGUGGUUAAAAAAGUUGAUGGUGAAAUCCCAAGGCUUAACCUUGGAACUGCCAUCAAAACUUUUUAGCUAGAGUGUGAUAGAGGUAAGUGGAAUUUCUAGUGUAGAGGUGAAAUUCGUAGAUAUUAGAAAGAACACCAAAUGCGAAGGCAACUUACUGGGUCACUACUGACACUGAGGAGCGAAAGCAUGGGUAGCGAAGAGGAUUAGAUACCCUCGUAGUCCAUGCCGUAAACGAUGUGUGCUAGACGUUGGAAAUAUAUUUUUCAGUGUCGCAGCGAAAGCAUUAAGCACACCGCCUGGGGAGUACGACCG
rnacentral:rRNA from 1 species